rnacentral:lncRNA from 1 species
CUCAGAUGAGUUCUGCACACUGGAUGCUAGAGGAAACCUAGGGCCUUGUGUAUCCUAGGCAAGCCCUCUCACACUGAUCUACAUCCUAGCCCAAGCUAGAAUUGAUACUUUGAAUAUGUUAUAGCUUAAAUGGGUCCUACCCCAUUCUAGAAGCCCUGGCUCCCCUACAGAUAGUUUUUACCUGGCUUGUGGCCUGUCCCUCUGCAGCCAUGAAAUCAGUCAUCUUAGGAAGCAGAUUCUACAUGUUCUGAGGCUGGGUUUCCAAGGGUCUGAUGUCCAAGAGGGUCUUGCUUGACCCUGUUGCAGAGCCUAAGGUGAAGUCGGCUGAGAGAGGGCUGUACUAUGAGAUUCUCUCUCUCUCUCUGUCUCUCUCUCUCUGUCAUACACACACACACACACACACACACACACACACACACACACACACACCAUGCUAAAGAGUUCUACACAAACAGGUGAAUAAUCAGAUGCCUUCUUUAUAAAGAUAGGUAUACAACUGUGAUGAAGAAGUAACAUGAAUGAGCAGGCCCUUUUAGUUAAAUUGUGGUCCCUGUAGCCAUCAGAGGACUGGUCCCAAGGCCUCACUUCCCGUUGUAAUCCAUUUAGCCUUUAUAGAGUAGAAGUGGGGGUCUCCCUGAGUCAGACAGUCAGGCAGAGUGAUGCCUACAAGGGCUAGUGGCUAGGCCUAUUAUUUCCUGUUUUCAUGUUUUAGUAUUGGUUUGGUCUUCCUAGGAAGUGUCCCAUCUUUUUUCUUGAAGCUGACCUUCUGUGAGAAUAAGAGGAAAAUUCCCCAUCUGUCAUUUUUGCACUGGAAAAGCUUCAUGCCACACCACCAAGGUCACAUAGGGGUCAAAGGCAGAGACCUGGUUUCAGACUUCCAAUGGGCUGAGCCCUUGGUGUGUUAUUGUCUAGCUGAGGCUGAGUGCUUUGCUCCGUGACCAGAUCUGCCUGCUGGCCCUCAGCCCCACCUGGAUACCCAGGGCAUUGUCUUUUGAGGUGGAUGACAGGGAGGGAUGCUUACAGCCCUGCUCGCAGCUUCCCUGGCCUUUCCCACUUCCUCCCACUCUUCUAGGCCACACAGGUUUCCUUUUCAUGUGAGAGGAAAGCUGAGCACUUGUCUCCAGGAACAGCUAGGCCUUGUCUGCUCAGCUGUGACUCUGUGGCCCAGACAAUCCCGGCUAUGUCCCGAAUGCCCAGAGGCUGACGGAAGCGCCUUGGCUAGGACCCAGGAACUGCAGGGGGUGGUAGGCUUUGAAGCUUGGGCUUGCAAGAUGCCUCUCCUCCAGGGUUUCUGAGUUUCUCUCACAGCCUACCAGAGGCUGUCUGUCUGUCAGUGAGUCCAGAGUUCCAGGCCUGUCUUUUUUUCUCGCUGGUUUCCAGGCGCUGAGAGGCCAAAGGACAAAUACAAGCAGCUACAAUGGGGCAAGUUUGCAUAGGCCUGUAGUCCCAGAACUCCAGAGGCUAAGACAGAGGCAUCACUGACCUCAGUAGUGAGACCCUGUAUCUCCUCAUUAGUAAGCCCUGUUUCUCACCGGAAGGUUAAGGUUUGUCCUUAACCUGAGAUCAUUCCGGCAAAUCGCAUUGAUAUCAAGACCAGCUGGCAGCAUGAGUUCUGAUUGUGCUAGCUUUGUACCUGAGCCUCAGGGUAGUCAAGUAACUGGCCCAGGGCUGUACAGCUGGCCAUCAGAAUCUGGAACUUCAGGGCCUGUCCUCAAAGCCAGCAGCCUCCAUGCCUUCUCAGGGCAUCUUGAUUUCUGCUGCCGUUUCCUCUGCCUGAAAAAAAAAAUAUUUUCUUUAUUAAGAUAGCAAAACUUUAUUGGGUCCCUAUCAUGGGUUUAGUCUUGGCCUUACAUUGCUGAAGGAGAAAUAGUUCAUGAAUAAGCAGAUUGAAUGGAAACCAGUGCUAAAGUCUAUACAGAACUUUUGAGUGUGCUGUGGAAUCUAGGAUACUUUACCAACAAUACCAGAGAAAGCUACCCUGAGAACCUUACAUCCGGAUGACAAAGUGGAGGUCCAGCUGUAUAGAAAACAGAGAAAAGCAUCCCAGGCAGAGAGGAGGGUUGUGAGAAGGUCCUAGGGCUCAGACGAGUACAGCAUUCAGAGAAUGGUGAGCAAUGGGUCUUGGGACUGCAGGCAUGGGCACAGAGUUGGGAGGUAUGGAGUACAUGGUUGUGCAGGGCUGCUGCCACUCACGAGCCUCCGAUGUAGCUGAAUAUAGCUACAUCAGGUUCCACCAUAGCCCCCGACUAUUCAGGAACCAAGGCUGGAAGAGGACCUAUGGGGGAGGCAAGUAUGUGAAGAACUCUCACAGGUAAAAAUUGGCCAGCGUGUGGCCCAGAGGAUGAGGUGUGGGAGGACUGUUGGAAGAGCUGAGCAGUCAGAUAUUCAGGAUGCAAAGUUGCUCAGAGCAGUAGACAGCUUUCAAGACUCUAUGACUAGAUACUACAGAAAGAAUAAAGAUGUUAGUUUCAGUCCAUGCUAGCUUGGCUGCAUGCUGUUGGGCAAGACAUCUUGGAGACGGGAGGUUGUGGUAGAGAGCUGGGAGAGAACUGGGAAAUUUAGAGGGUAAGAGAGAAAGGGUGGGAGUGAGUCCAGAGAAUGGAGGAAGAGAAAAGGAGGCUGGGAAAAGACCCCUAAGGACAUACACAGUGAUUUACUUCCUCCUGGGGGUUCCCUUCCCUAGAACUUCUACCUACACAAACAAUCCUGUGAGAGGUUUUUGUUUAUUUGGUUGGCUGGUUUUGUUUUGUCAGCUUGAUAUAGGUUAGAGUCAUCUGGGAAGAGGGCAAAUGAAUUGAGGGGUUGCCUCCAUCAUAUUUCCAAUAGGGAAGCCUGUAGAAUGCAGUAUUGAUUAAUGAUUGAUAUGGGAGGGCUCACUGUGGAUGAUGCCACCCCUGGGCAGGUGGUCCUGGGUUAUAUGAAAAAGCAAGCUGAGCAAGCCUAUGGGCUCUGGGUCAGUUCCUGUCUCCACGAUGCUGUCCAGAGUCAUUGCAUUGACAUUCCUCAGUUAUUAGGUAUGACCUGGAAACUGUAAGAUGAAAUAAACUCUGAUACUUCUCCAAGUAAGUUCUGGUCAGUGUUUAUCACAGCAGCAGAAAACUAAUUAGGGCAGAGUACUGCCAUUGGGGACCAAACACUCAAUUCAGGAGCCUUUGAGAAUAGUUAACAUUGAAACUAGAGUGGGGUAUAAGUGAGCUGUGCUUGGAGCAGAGCUGGGGAUAGACCACAGGUGGCCGAGGAUAGACCACAGGUGGCUGACCCACGCUGAUGAUUGUUCUCCCAUGGUCUCUGGUCUCUAUAACGUAGAAGGAGCUUUGUCCUGAGAAGCUGUACACACUUCCUUUGGCCUGGCUCUUUUGAGCUUGGGAUGGACUCCAGAAUAGGCUCUGACCUUGGGGUAGAAAUGUGCUGAGCCUGGAUACAUCUUGUGGCUUGAUUAAUUUCAUCCUGGCUCUGAGUGAAGGGAAGAGAAACUUUCUUGAUUUGAAGACUGUGUGUUCUUUUCAAGCUAUCAGCAGACAUUGUGGAAUAAUGGGCUUUGGGUUUAAGGUACUUGCAUCCUGCUGGCUACACUGUCCCCUUUGGAUGUCCUGUAGUGAGAGGUGCUGCUUCUGGCUGGCCAUAGAAUCAUUUGCAGGAGUGACAUGGCUCUCUUUUGGUUUUGACAGGCUGCAAUCAAGCUCACCAAAUGAACCUUCUUCAAUGGCUGUUUCCUAUGAGGGCCACAGGAUACCUUAUGACUCUGACAAUAGCUGCAGCCAGGGUCUUUUUUCUGAGAAGCGUAGAGAACAUACUAACAGGCUCAAGUCACCUUUUAAUUCUUCAGUACUGCAGUCUGGAGCGGAGUGUUUAGGCAAAUGAGUAUAAACCACCAUAGAAACUCUUCACGACAUCGGCAGUAUUAUUCACCCUGCAAGUGUUGAAAAUUAAAAUUGUCCAUAGCUUGUGCAUACUUUUCCCCUUCAUUUCAAUUUAAGAACUAACACCAUUUAGCUCAUCUAAAAUAAUACUAGUGAGGAAAAUGGCUUUUCGUUUUAAACCACACAUACACACACACACACACAUUUUGCUUUAAUGUGUUUCUUAAAAGAAAGUAAUUUACAAUGCAGGAAAGACAAUUAUCUGACUUGUUUUAACAUUGUGGAUUAUGCUUGGUAUGCCCCACACCAGUGCCUGUGAAAAGAUGUUGGAAGGAGAAUUCUAUUCUGGGCUAGUUACUUGGAACAGCCAACUUAGAGUGUAAGCUUCUCACACUUACUGCUCACUGGCAAGAGCCUGGCAGGAGGUUCCUGGUGACUUUUGGUCAAUUUGGAGUUGGGUCUUAGGCUUCUCUAUGGGGACUAGAACUUCCCCCUUUCAACUGAGAGCUUAUGUUCCCAUCCAUAAGUCUUAGUUGCAUCCUGAAGCCUGAAACUCAUCACUGAAGACAAGUUCCUUCACCCAGGGUUACCUAUUAGCCCCAAUGUCUGCACCAUGAUUUUCUGUGGGUUCUCUAGUUAGGGAGCAUUGACCUGGAGAUGUGUGGGCAUCCUUCUGCCCAAGAGCAGCCCCGAGCUGGACUAGUUAAACUGAGACUAAAUAUCUGGUUUCCUUCUUUCUUGGGGGUAGGCAGUUCCCAGGCCUGUUUUACAGUGUCUCAGUUCCAUGGACUGGUACCCUAUUUUUCCCAACAGCAAUGGUGCAGGGCCACAUUCUAUGCUGUUCUUUUCCUAUGUCAUUUCCUAUUACCUAGAAAAGCUUUAGGCCCGGUGUGGUGACACAUACCUGUAAUCCCAGUAUGUGAAAGGCUGUGGCACGAUUGCUAGUUCUAGGUUAGCCUGGGCUACAGAACAAGAUUCUGUCUCAAAAAUAACCAAAGAACCUACAACAACCAGAAGAGGGAGGGGAAGGCAGAGACAGAAAUACAGAGACAGGUACUGAUAGAGACAGACAGACACAAAGGCUACCAAAACCAACCCUUCUUCCCUUCAGCUGUCUAUGCCAGCUAUUUUGGUCAUGGCUUCUCAAAAGAAAUGAAUACUGUUCUCUAGCUUCCAAUCUAGCUUCUAAUGAGGAAACAGGCCCAGUUCAUCUGUUAAGGCUCCCUAGCCUGUAAGAGACUUUGGGGGCUGUCUUAUUAUCCAGCCUUACAUUGGGACAGUUGGGUGGUCUUAAUGGACAUUCAUGUAAACCAAGGUCAGUCUCCUCCUGAGCUCUGCAUCUCUUGUGGAGGAAGUUCCCAAUACUAUCCCGCCUCAGACUAUCUUCUGCCAAGUAUAUAUGACAGAAUUAUGAACUUAUGUUUGACUGAGGAUUUCAAAGGGGGAAUAAUCAUUUAGAAGUGACUCAAUCACUGAUUUGGGUUUUGACAAUCAAAAAUGGAUUUCUUCAGACCAGAAAUGGAUUUUUGCAUUUCCCCUCUCUCUCUCUGCCUCUGUGAAGGUUGUCAUUCCCAAAUCUGCUUGCAUCAGGACUCAGUGAUGUCUGGAAUCCAGAGGAGUUUUCUGAAGACAGAUGCCAUUGAUUUUGCUUUUGUUCCACUGUGGCUGCCUCUCACAAUGUAUUAGCAUCAGCUCUUGACAUGCAACUCUAGAAGGCAUCAGAAACAAUUUGAUCUGUCACUUACAAAAAAUUGUGCCAGACCUAGUGGUCCAGGCAUGUAAUCCCAGCUACUUUAGAGGCUGAAGCAGGAGGAUUAUAAGUUUAAGGUCUGGCUGGGCUAUAGAGUUUAAGAUCAGCCUGGGUAAUGCAGUGAGACCCUGUGUCAAAAUAAUAGGCAAAAAAAAAGAGUGGUGGAUGUCUUUCCUGAAACACACAGCCCUGAAUUCUACCCUAGAUGCAUCCUCUGCAUGAGGAGUUAGGGGACGUGGAUCUUCAUGGACUUUAGAGGGCCCACCUCUGCCCCUUCCUACAUAUGAUCUUUUCUCUUGUCCCUAUUGUUUCUGACAGUUGUGUUACUAGCUUCAGGACAAUGGGGAGAUAUUGAGUGGCUGUGAUGUCUUGGUGUGAUGGGAAUUCACAGGGUGAUUGCUACACGUCCAUGUAAUCUUGUAUAAGUCAUUGCUCCUCUUUGAGCCUCAGUUUCUCCAUUGGUAAAACAAAGAUAGCCAUCUUUACUCUUUCUCCUGUUCCACAGGAGGGUAGAAGGGUAUCUGGCACUCAGGUGGACAUGAAUCAGGCUUUUCUGUAAGAAGUGGUAGGCAUUAAAUCUCCUGUAUGCAUAAUGCACUCUACUGCUAAGCCACACCCCUAGCUUUAUGAACCCUACUUGACUCUUUCUUUUUUUUUUUUUUUUUUCUCCAGGAUCUGAAAUGGGUCCCUGGGCCUUGUGUAUGCAAAGCAAAUGCUCUGCUGCUGAGCUAAACCCCUGGCUCAGAGUCUCACUAUAGCUCCCAGGCUGGCAUUGAAUUCACCACAGUCAAUGCUGGCCUAGAAGUUAUUCUCCUCCUGUUGUAGUUUCUCUAGUAUCCUGCCAUGCCGAGCUCCUGUAACUUCUCUGAAUUCAGCCAGAAUUCUUCUUUUUUUUUAAAAAAAAAAAAUGAAACACUUCACAAAUUUGUGUAUCAUCCUUGUGCAGGGGCCAUGCUAAUCUUCUAUAUUUCCAAUUUUUUUCUUUUUCUUUCUUUUUUUUUUUUUUUUUUUUGGUAUAUGUGCUGCUGAAGUGAGCACCAGCCAGAAUUCUUAUUCAACCAGAAUAAAAAGUUGUGUGGAGCCAUGUGACCUUGAGGACAUUAAUAGUCAAAGUUACAGAAAUCAAGGUGAUCCAAGGCUAGUGUAAGGUCCUUCAGGACAUCCUGGUCAGGUAUGCACAGACUCAGAGUUGACAGGGUAGGAAGGAACUUAUUUCCAUAACUCCCCACCCCCCACCCCCUGCUCUCUCCACAGGCCCUGAGAUGUCACACCCAAAUCUAUCCACAAUAAUAGGGUCAGGUUCCCAUAGAGUCAUUCAUGCCACGAAGCUGCACAAGGACAACUGGGAAUGCCCACUGUAACUGGGGGCCUGGCUGAAUCUGGUCACUGCAUAAACUCAGGAGAGGAGUGUCCCUUCUCCUGGGCUCCUAAUCUGGGUGGCCUCGUGCUGUCUCUUCUGUCAGUUCUGCUCAGAGAAAUCUGCAAACGCCAUGCCAGGCAGACUUCGGAGGAAAUGAGCGCAGACAGCAGAUACUUAGUCCUGCUUAGAAGGUCAUACAGUUCUAGCUGGCAGGCUUGCCUUAGAAGCAGGAUGCGGCUGACUGCACAGCCCCCACUACAAUGGCAUCUCCUUUCCCUCCACUAAAAACUGGUUUGGAAUAAUGAGCAGCACCAAAGUGGGAACCCCUCCUGUCCUAGGCUCAGAGGACCCAUAUAAGGCACACAAUGGGGGCUUCAUCCAUCCACUCGGGCAUCUGCUUUUUGGUACACACCACUGGGCCUGCUGGACCACAUAGAGCCCAUCUCCCUGAACUUGCAGAGGAUGCUGAUAAUGGACUAAUAAUUCCAAUAGGGCUUUGCCAGGCUCAAAGCAACUCUUACCCUCUUAGUCAUCUUGCUUCCUGGGGCCCUUGAGAACCUCUAGUGCCUUCUAGUCUGUCAUGCGUCUUCACCAAGGGUGGCCUUCGGACUGUGCUCAUAGCUCCACACAGAACCAGCUCUGUUAAUUGAUGCUUGAAGCAAACCUCUCCUGUUUUCCACUAAAAGGUGUCCUACCAAGAAAUUAUGGGCAAGCCUAAGUUUUUGAAGUUCCAGAAAUUGCUUUGGUCUUCAAGGCAAGGGUAGCUUCUCCAAAAGAUGAAGCUAGAAAUGGGUACGUAGGACCUGCUCUUCACUGUCACAGAACGACCCUAUAUUCCAGCUUAGCGGUCUCCUCUACAUGCGAGCUGUUAUACCCAACUGUCUCCUGUCAGAAUAAGAAUAUGAACUUAGCUUAAAAAAAUCUUUAGGCUGAAAGUGCCUCAAAGCCCCAACUAAAGCCUCCAUGAGGCUGCUUUGGCUGGGAUGGUGGAGUGGGUAGAGAAGUAAGAUCAAACAAUAGGGCCAGACUCAGUGACCAAAAGGAUUCUGCUCCUGGAGAGCUUUCCAUGUGUCAUUCUCUGGGCAUAAUUUCCCUGUAAUCUUUACUAUAUAGAUGCCAUCUUUGUCUACAGACUAUUACUCAGUCAGGUCAGUUGUACAAGGUGGAGAGUUCCCUUCACCAGCAUUUGUUAAAAACAUCUUAGGUAUGAAAACCAUAAGUUAAAUGAAGUCAUGUUUCUGUGCCCGAGCAUCACACAGGUAAUGUGGUGGUCUGAAUAAGAAAUGCCCUCUAUAGGCUCAUGUGCUUGAACACUUAGUCUCCAGUUGGUGAUGCUGUUUGGAGAGGAGAGGGGACCUUUAGGCAUUUGUGUGGGUGCUGAGAAUGCAAACUCUGGUCCCCACACAUGCACAGCAAGUGCUUCCCACAUUAGGACUCUCCCCAGCUCCAAACACUCAUUAUUCUUAAAAGACACAUUAGAUUAAGAGAAAGGAGUGAAAAGAAGUUGAAAUCCAUCAUGCACCAUUUGACUUGAGCCCAUUUCUGGGGUGUAGUUUCAGCAUACUGGGCAGCGAUUGGUUCUUGCUGAAGGGUCCGCACCAGGUUUUAUUUACUGGAUAAGCGGGUCUCCUUGCGCUUUGUGUUCAUUCAGGAGACUGGGUUCUCUUCGACAGGGCCUUCUUUACUUCUGUAUUUUGUUCUAUUCAAUGUCUACCUUCCCCAAACCCCAAGGCUUUUCCUUUCCAAACUUUCCUACUUUGUUGUUCUACUUAAUUAUGUAAUCGUUUUCUUUUUAAGAAUCAGGGGUACUUGGCUUGAGUUUUUUGCAAUGAAGAAUGCUGGCUUCUCGAUUUUUCUAUUUUAGGGAAUACUUGAACCAUACGUGGCUUUCUCUUUGAGCUGUUUUCCAUGGGCUUUUACAUGAAACAUGACUUGUCCCUUCUUCUUGUUCCUUCCCCUGACCUCUCUCUUUCCUCUUCCUUUUGCCUUCCCUCAUUCUCUCCCCCUCAUGCCCCCCUCUUUCCCAUGCUCUUCCCUCUCCCUUCCAGACUUCCCCUCUAUCCUACUUUGAACUUUAUAUCCCCCCUUCCCCUCCCAUAUCUCAUCACCUCCCUUCCUCCUCUCUCCUUCCUUACCUCCAUCGCCCAUCCUUCCUUCAUCACGUGCCCACCCACCAGUGUCUUUUUCUCUGCACCCCACCCCGAAACUUCUCUCAGUUUCUUUCUUUGUUUCCUAUACUUCUGAGGGACACUAGCCAUCAGAUUGUCUUAAAAACACACAGGACUUGGGGGUGUUUCUCUUGUUUUCCCUGAGUUCAUUCACAGUCUAACACUGCCUGCCAGUUGUAUUGCUCAAAUGUAGAAGUGGGUUGUUCCAAAGCUCAGCCUUCCAUUUUUGGUGGCCUUAAUGUCUCAGUGAUUCCCUGAACUGAAGCAGGCUGAGGAGAAAUCUGCGUCCGGGUAGGUCAGGAGUCCUCCCUGCUUUUCUCUAUGAGUGUAUGGAGUGAUUUUCCUACAGGCUGGAGGUCACAUGUAUAGGCAGAGGGGUGGCCAGCCAAGGAAAAGAAUGGAAGAAGGGAGAGAUUCUUCAGAGGGAAUGAGUUUCUGCUGUUGUGGCUUUCCCAGAGACAGAGGGAAGACUGAGGUAAGGGGCAGAGAAUAUAAAGAGAGAAGAGGCAAGAAGUCCAGAUGGGGCUAAGGAGGAAGGGGGCACUGUUAGGUGCUGGCCAAGGACCUCUGGGAAACUAGGGUGCAGAAUGCUGAGGCUGAGUUUCCAUGGAAACUUUGGAACAUUCCUUCCCUAUGGAGUGUCUUGGCCAGACCCUAUGCUGCAAGACUGUUACCCAGUGUAACCCAGAGUAUUUACUGCAACCCCUUUCCUGGGGCAUUGCCUGAAGCUCAUUACAUCUCCUAUUUUCCACACCCGAAGACUGACUCAAGACAGGAUCAAAAGUCAAGGCAAGUUUAGGAAACUCAGGAGGAGAAGAGAGCUACUCAUCCUGGCUGCUAGACAGUCUGGAACUUUCAGCCUGCCUUUGUGACACAGGCCUGUGAUCGAAUGUGGAUGCCGAGGCAAGAGCAUCACAAGGUCAAGCCGAGCUUAGCCAGAUCUUGUCUCAAAAAAUGAAGGGGAAGAAAAGACAAAGGGGGCGGGGGGAACGGGGACACAAGCUUAGUGGCAGCAGUGCCUUUGUAUAGCUUCUGCUGGGCCCUAGGUUCAAGCCCCAGGUCAGAAAACACAAAACACAUAGAACUUCAGCACAAUUAACAAAAACAACAAAAGCCACUGUGGAGAUUUUUUUAAAAAAUUCUGUUUGAGAGCCACUUCAAGAAAAGAAAUGUUAAAAUAUCAAUGAACUAUGUUUAAAGUCAAAACACAUGAUGACCUUUUGAGUUUGACCUUGGGCCAGUUUUGCCUAUAAACUUGUCUUUUUUUCCUACUGACCUAUGGAUAGUAAGAAUUCCUUUGACACUUGGGUUUUUCUUUUUAAUAUUUCCUUUUUAAUUUUUAUUUACAUGCAUGUGACUGUAGUGUUAUAUAGCAGGUGCCGACAGAGGUCAGAAGGGAGCAUAAGGUCCUCCGUCCCCACCCUCCAACCCAGACUGGAGUUCCAGCAGUUGUAAGCCAGCUGACAUGGGUACUGGCAACUGAACUUCGUGUUCCUCUGGAAGAGCUGUAAGUACUCUUCAACACUGAGCCAUCUCUCCGGCCCUGACCUGUUUCUUACUUAUCUUGUCAGCUCAUAAACCUGUACAACGUACCUCUCAUUUACCAAAGAAAAGUUUCUUAGAUAAAAGUACGUCAAAAUAUUUUAUGAAGUCUUUUAUAUCCUUUGAAACAAUAGCUUCAAACGCGACCCAAAGGCUUAUAGUUCUAUAAAGAUACUCACACUUGACUGAGAUUCUCUCUUGAAGCUUGCUCCUGCCCUUCAGUAUAUAUAUGUACAACCAGCCGCAGAGACCUCAUGCUCACUUUUUCUUCUGAAUUAUUUGACACUGAAUAUAGGAUCUCAUGCAUGCUAGCAAGUACUCUGUAUGUAUCUAGACACUCAUGCACAUUCUUUUAAAUUUUAACAUGGACUAUCACUCACUUGCCUCAGCUGGAUUUGAGUUUGGGGUCCUUCUGCCUCAUGCUCCUCCUGAAUAUAUGGCAUUACAGGCCUGAGCUGCCAGGUCCACCCCAACUUUGUCUUAAUAAAUUCCAACUUUGAUUCAUUCGGAAGUUCUCUGUGUGCCUUAAGAGCCAGGGUAAUCCUGAAUGAGUUCUCAGGAGAGCAUCUCCAGGCUGCCAAUGAAGACUGGCCACAUUCCUGAGAACUGACUUUCUGCAAAGCCUCCCAGAGGGCCCAAAUUUAGAACACACGAAGUAAGAAAAGAUGCCUUCUCUGUUGUGCCUGCAAACAUAAGGAACACUAUACACAUUUCUGGAAAGAACAGGAAACAGUUUUCUGUCAGAGUGAAAGCUUCAGGUAGGGGAUUGUUGCCACGUUGAUUUUGGGUGUUAAAUGCUUGAGCAAAACUCAAGCAUUUCAGUGCUUUUAGUAGAUGGUACUUGGAAAUCCUUCGAAAAUUGCAUGUCCCUCGAGUUUUGAAAGAAUAAGACAGGCUAUCUGCGUGUUUCUGGUGUGACUGGCUCACAGAGCUUUCCAUCACGUUUGUGCGACCAGCAAGAUUUCUGUACAACAAGCAGGAGUAGCCGAUGGGAUCCCCAAAGCCAUCAUUCUUCUAGAGUGUUUGUGGACACUUGUUAACAUUCCAGUACAGAUCAUCUUUCAGCUUCCACAAUAUGAUGAAAUGUGGUAACAAGCCCAUGGAAGAAUUAAAGACUUUCCCAUUUAGCUUUAACUGUUUCUGGGCUAAUGUGGCAUCAGAAAGAGGUCUUGACAUUCUUCAGCAUUCUUUGCUCUACAGGAGGGCCUGGUACCUCCCCUCACCCACUCUUCAGGAAACAAUGUUUUUCACAGUGCCAUUUAGUUCUAAACGAUUAUGUAAUUACAUUUGUGAAUGUAAUCCUGCAGGGCAUUAUUCUAAUUAUAGCCCACAAUCCC